CGCCCAAACAGUACACGUAAGAAUGAUUACAUUUGAUAUUUUGUCCAGCCACAUACUUGAUUUCAGAGUUCAAAGGUGAAUGUUAAAAGAGGGCAAUUACUGUAUGUCAUAUGGGCCAGUGAGUACUACAUACUGCAUAGUUUACUCUUUAAAAAAAAUACAGCAGUUUAUAUUUCAGAAAAGGCUACAUUGAUCAUUCAAAAGUGACACGGUGAUAUCAUUGCUCCAAACGGGAUUUUUAUUUGAAGGAAUAACUGAAGAGGGUUGUUCGGGAAAAGCACUGUCAACAACACAGAUGGAGCAAACUGAUGGUGCUUGGGGUCCUAAAGAUAGCAGCAUAAUUAAUUCAGGCUGAAGUUAAUGGAAAGAAUGUGCUGUGCAGCCCAGAAGUUUGCAACAUAAAUCAACAGUGAUGGUGCAAACUGAUGGUGCCUGUCUGAUAUCUUAAUGAUAGCAGUGUCAUUUUUUUAAGGUAAGAUUGAACUUAAGUUGAAUAUGUGUUCAAUAAAUGCUCAAGCAUUUCCUUUUUCUUUACAGAUAUGAAAUCAGAUUAACACCCCACCAAAGGCAAUAAACAACCCAGAUUCAGUUCCAGAAUGGUUUAAAAUAAAUAUUGACAGAUUAAGAAGUAACACGGUGUUUAUUUAAUGUUACAUUGAAAAAUAUAUAUGUAAAAUAUAUUUUUAGAUGCAUUUCAAGAAUACAUUUGAAAAUAUAAAGAAAUGGCCAAAUCAUAUAUUUGUAAAAAAUAUAUUAAAUGCAUUUUAAAUACAUUUUUAGAUGCACUUUAAGUACAUUUUCAGAUGCACAGUCCUAAGACUCCAGCAAAAAUGGGCUUUUCAAUUAACUGACUUUCAUUCAUCUGCAUGUGCAGCCCUUAUUUUUAGCCUCACAAUGAAGCGUUUUACCAUUUUCUUUUCAGGAUAACAAGGGCUACACGUAGAACACAAAACAUUGACAUAAACAGUUGCAUUUAUGAGUUGUAUUGACAAAUGUCAAUAAAUAAAAAGUCUUCCAAUGCAAAACCCGGAUAAAAAUGUAUUUAUAUUAACUCUGUAAGUACAGAAAUGGUUUGCUUAGUGGGAAAUGAAUAUCCAACUAUUCAGUGACAACUGUGUGGAGUUUGGAGUUUGUGACAGCAACUAUGUGAGCUUAUUACAUACAGUAUUAUAGACACCAUGUCCUGGGAUUUCCUAUUAUCUUCUACAGUGCCUUCAGAAAGUAUUCAUACCCCUUGACUUAUUCCACAUUGUGUUGUGUUACAGCCUGAAUUCAAAAUGGAUUAAACACAUUUUUAUCUCACCCAUCUACACACAAUACCCCAUAAUGACUAAAUGAAAACAUGUUUUUAGAAAAUGUUGCAAAUGUAUUGAAAAUGAAAUACAGAAAUAUCUCAUUUACCAUAAGUAUUAACACCCCUGACUCAACCCAAAAGCUUUUUUGGCCUCCACUGGACACAAUGGUCUUGCAGCUCUAGAAACUAAGAGCCUGUCUGUGGGAGAGAGGAGGUAGAGAGAAGAUGGGGAGGAGGGAGAGAGAGAGAGAGAGAGAGAGAGGGAGAGAGAUGGGGGAGGCAAGGAAAGGAGGGAAAGAGAAUGGAGGGGGA